rnacentral:tRNA from 1 species
GUAAAGUAAUAUAAAAGCUGCUAACUUAUUAUAAUAAUGGUUAAAUUCCAUUAACAUUACU